rnacentral:rRNA from 1 species
UACGGAGGGCGCUAGCGUUGUUCGGAAUUACUGGGCGUAAAGCGCGCGUAGGCGGCUUUGUAAGUUAGAGGUGAAAGCCCGGGGCUCAACUCCGGAACUGCCUUUAAGACUGCAUCGCUUGAAUCCGGGAGAGGUGAGUGGAAUUCCGAGUGUAGAGGUGAAAUUCGUAGAUAUUCGGAAGAACACCAGUGGCGAAGGCGGCUCACUGGACCGGUAUUGACGCUGAGGUGCGAAAGCGUGGGGAGCAAACAGG